ACCCUACCUUCAGGCUUCAAGCAGCGAAAGCGCGAGAAAGUGCGAGAAAAUGGCGAGAAACUCCGUUCUUCUGCGACACCUCCUUCGAUUCUCUCCCUCGUCUCGCGCUCGUUCUUCUUCUCUGAUCGAGACCCUAGCUUCAUCUCCGAUUGCUGUCCCAUCCCCUCCCAUUCAUACAAUUUCCUCCUUUUUCACCACCGCCACCGCUAACUCUCAGUUCUCGCGGCCUUGUUUGAAUUACCGCACACUUUGCUCUUCCUCAGGUACCUCGCAUUUCCCGUGCAAUUUCUCAUUUACUUGUUUUAUUUUUCAUUUCCAUUUUCGUCGUCAUCUUUCGAGUUGUUAUUGCUUUGCUUGGAAAAAUAUGAUCCUAGGGUUUUUUUUUCGAAAUCAAACAGCUGUCUUCAUCGUUUCGAUUAGAAGCAAUUUGCGAUUUAGGGUUUAUAUUCUUUGUAUAAAUCACUGCUUUUAAAUUUAUUCAGGCUCAAUUGUGAAUUUUACCAGUGUUUGAUUAAAAAAUGAUAUAAUUUCUACUUGCAUUAUGGUUUGAUGAAUAAAUCAAGCAUUAUGAAUGAAUUUAAUUCCAGGUCAAUCAAAAAUUGCUCUGAUUAAAUCAGAAGAAGAGUUCAAUACUUCACUUAGCAAGGUUCAAGGUAUUUCGUUUUUCUUCUCUUAUAUUUUGUUUGUUUGCAUCUCGUUACUGUUUUCUCUAAUUCUUACAGCACUUCUCAUUGGUUACAUACUUGUUCAAAUUCAUUGUAAUAGAUGAAUCUUUGCCUGCAAUUUUCUACUUCACUGCAGUAUGGUGUGGGCCUUGUAAGUUUUUGAAUUAUUUCAUUUUCUACUUCAUUGAUUCAAGGAAGGGUAUUGUUUAAUCGGUUUUAUGGCAUAUUUAUUUCGUGUAGGCAGGUUUAUAGCUCCUAUCAUAGCAGAGUUGAGUGAAAAGUACCCUCAUGUCACCACAUACAAGAUUGACAUUGAUCAGGUGAGGAGAAUUUUUCCUUGUCCAAUUAGAAACUCAUGUUUAUGAGUUGAUAACACAUUGAAUUUAUUCUCAUGAAUCACCCUGUAUGCUUUUUAUACAGAUGAUCAAGAUUGAACUUGAAGAAACUGAUUAUUGAUGUUUUAAAUUAUGAAAUUUUGAUAUCAAUCUUAAAAAUAUCAUUGUAGUAGUUCUCAUGAAUAGGGUAACAUUCAAGAGUUCAUAGAGAAACAUCGUGAGAAAGUUGAGAAUUUGGUGGUUUGUAUAAGAAAGGAAUAUCAAAUGUACUUGUAAAAAUUCAUGAUUGAAUGAAAGGUGACAUAGGCCCUGUUUGGAAAUUGCUAUUGAAAACAUUUUAUGUUCUUUUGAACAUAAAACAAUUUUCUAACUCAAAAAACAUGUUUGACAAACUUCUAAAAAAAAAUAGUUUUUUGAGAAUUUGCCAUAAAAUAGGUUGUUUUUUAUAACAAAUUUAAGGUUUUUUAACAAUGUUUUGAGCAAUAAUUGAAAACAUGGAGAAUAUUUUAGGAACUUUUACUUCGUAUAUACUUGUAGAAGAACAAGCGGAGAAAACUGUUUUUCAUAUUUAAGUUCCCAAACAGAAUUUUGUUCUUCAAAACAAGUGGGAACUGUUUUCAGAAACGUUUCCAAGCAGGCUCAUAGAAAAGCAUUUUCCAAGAAGCAUGGUUUCAGAGUUGUAUGGACCAAUAAUAGUAUGGUGCUUGCAUUACAAUUUACAUUUAGCCUUGAAUAGUUGUUUAAUUGUUAAGUUGUUUCUAUUAAGCAUAUUGUUCAUUGGUAUUUCUGUUGGACUUACUUUGUUAACCUAUUUGCAGGAUGGGCUUGAAAACACCCUAAGAAGGUUAAAUAUUGCCUCCGUGGUUAGGCUACUUGAUCCCUUCUUUUCCCUUAAGAAUUGUUUUGAGUUUGGUUUAUAAUUCAUGAAGCAAAGUGGUUAUCUAUUUCUUUUAUUGGUGAAUUAAGUAUCCUGUUUUUUGUAUUUGGAUGAGUAAAUUUGUGCAUAUUUGCACUGAAGAAUACAUUAAUAUCAUAACUUUUCUUCAAAUAAUUGUCUUAUUUACAGAUUGGUGUCUGCCAUCACAAUUUUAGACCAGUUAUCUUUCUUUCUGUUGCUUGAAUUGGCUAGUGAUAUUUAAUCAGAGCAGACUCUCUCUAUUUUAGUUAAUUGUAUGUGCUAAAGAUGUUUCUUGACUUUCUUCUGUUGCAGCCAACACUCCACUUCUUUCAAAAUGGGAAAAAGGCAGCUGAAAUAAUCGGUGCUGAUGUUGCCCGCUUGAAGGAUACCAUGGAUAAACUCUACAAGUAAUUCCCCAGUGGUUUGCCUUUCUGCAUUGUGUAUGCUUUUGCAUGGAUUUUUCUUUGAACAAGGGCUUCCAUAGUUGGCUUCAGGGCUAUAAACGGUUCACAUUUGAGUUCCAAUCCAUAUUUGAUUCAUAUCAAACUGGAAUCCAUUGUUUCUAAUUUGGUUAUGCUUUUUAGAUACAUUCAUUGGCGAAUCUAAAUACAUUUUUAUCUGAUUAAAUUCUAAGCUGAUAAUGUUACCCUCAACACACAUUUCCUGAAAACAUUUUAAAAUUUUUUGCUUAUGAAAAAGUUAUUUUUCCUUUUAUUUAGUGUAAGUUGAUUGGUCUAAAUUGUUGGGACCUUGGGUUCUAGAUAUAGAAUUUACUGAAUGAAAUCAAAUCUUUCCAAAUAUGCAUCAGAUAAAUUCGUGGCAUGGAUAGGUACAAACAAAUAAAGCAAUACUCAGUGUUCAUAGGCUUCAAUGUUUGCAUCGGCCCAAUCUUCCAAGUUGUUGUGUCUCCUUUCUCUGCAUUGACAAGUGGAUUCAGGUGCCGGUUGACACAUGUGUGCUUCUCUAUAAUAGACAACGAAGACCGGUUAGGAAGGGGGGUGGCUGGUUAGGCCUCUGCUCCUCCAAUGGUCAAGUCAAUCAUGGUGCUUACUAGAGGAGGCAACAAAUAAUAAGAGUAGAAAGAGAGAUAAGAGUGUCUUUGAUAACCCCUUAGCAGAUACCUAUGUAGGUUUCGGUUAGGAGUGAUGGCCAUGCCAAGAGUUGAAUCCUGCAUGUUAUCUAUACCUCAUUAAUGCUCUGAUGUAGAUAGAUCAUAGUUAUGACGGAGGCAUCUAAUCUAGCUAAACUCAUUGGAUCACAUUAAAUGCUUCAGCUGUUUCGUUGGAGGAGGGGGGGAGGGUUAAGAAGUGGGGCAUCCACUACUGGUCGCUGUGGGCUGUCCCGUCCUCUCUUGAGCUCAUGCCUUUUACACCCACACACAAGUGAUAUCAACAAUUCAGGAAGAUGAUUGAAUAAUUCGAUUCUCAGACCUGAAUCUGGAUUGAUCAUUUGUCUUGCCUUGUAUUUGAUUAACAUGUUUACAUGUAGCUUCAAGUCAUAGCUAUGAAGUCUGCAGUUUCAGCCAAGUAAUUUUCUCAUUGUUUCCAUUUGCAGGAAGGACUGACAGAAGAUUUUCCAGGGUGGGAGCUGAUGGCACAUGAUAGCUAAUCUGAUGGGUGAUAAAGCUUUCUUCAGAAAGGAGAAAAGGUAUCAAUGUUGAGACUGGGUUUAGUCAGGAUUGGCUUAGCUUUGAGUCUAUGAGGCAUUUUACAUAUCGUAAAUUACAUAAGACCUGNNNNNNNNNNNNNNNNNNNNNNNNNNNNNNNNNNNNNNNNNNNNNNNNNNNNNNNNNNNNNNNNNNNNNNNNNNNNNNNNNNNNNNNNNNNNNNNNNNNNUUUAUAAAAUACUUUUAAAAUUUAAAAAAUUAUUUAUAGUGUUUUCUAAAUAAACACUUGAUAUAUGAUUAUUUUAAAAAAUACUUUUAGAGAAAAAUACUUCAAUUAAGAGGGUGUUUGGUACCAAUUUUAAAAGGUGUUUUUGGUUUUUCUAAUAUUUGAAAAUUUUUAUUUUUCAAGUGUUAUAAAAAUUAAAAACACUUCUUAAAAGUACUGUCAAAUGCACUUUAAGAGUACAUUUGGUAAUAAUUAUAAAAAACAUUUUUAACAUUUCAAAUAUUUAAAUGAUAAAAAAAAAUUUUAAUAUUACAAAUGUUAUAAAUACUUCUUAAAAUCAUUGUCAAACGAAUUCUAAAAAUACUUCAAAUAAAAAACAUUAGUAAAGACACUCUAAGUUUUAUAUUUUAAAAAAUAUUUUUUUAUAAAAAAAGAAGAUAAUUAUAACAUGUUCAAAAAUAUUAAUUAAAUGAAAGUUUGUUUUCGUAGAAAACAAAAUAUGAAUUUUCUUAUUUCUUAAAAACAUGGUAUUGACAAAUGUAGGAUUAUACUCAACAAUGUUAAUCAAAUGCUCUUAAAAAUUAUGUUUGACCUUUGAAUUCUAUUUUUGCUGAUCAGGGUUUAAAUCCUAUUAAGUUCCCUUCACUAGGGUUUAUGUUAUGUAUAUCUUCUUCCUUUUUAUAUCCUCCUAACUUUUUUUUUUUUUUUUUUGAAAAAUGCCCCAUAUGCAAUGCGGGUUUUUCCAUGGUUAAAAACAUUAGCUUAUUGUUUAAGUAUGAGCAUUAAGACAAUAUCCUAUCAAAAAGUUGUGACCAAAAGAAAAAGAAUUGUGAAUGUGAAAAGCAUUGUCUCAAAUUUCAUAAGUGGUUUCAUACUUUGUUGGUCAAGUGUUAUCUUUUCAUCCAUUAACUACAUAUUGGGGGUCCAUGUCAUUGAGACAAACUCACCACAAAAUAUUUGUAGUGGUCCAACAAGAAUUGCAUGCAUGCUAUGAUGAAUUGAUUUUUCAAUCACCAUCAUAAUUCAAUGAUUGUAAUUGAAUUUAAGCAAGAUCUUUAUUUUUGAAGUUUCACUCUUAUGGCCUUUCAUCUUCUCUUGACAAGAAAUAUAUCGUGCGAAUGAAAAAAUCAGGUGUUCUUUGUUAGUGAUUUUAAGAUAGUUAUUAAAGGGAAUCAGUAAUGAUUUUGAAGUGAUAGUAAUACAUUUUUCUAAUAAUUUUUAACACGACCAUGGAAAGAGUAAUGAGGUAAUAAUUAUCUUAUCAUCGAAACCGUAUUUUAUCUUUUAUCUUAGUUAGAAAUUGAGGCCGAAGUCAAAGUUAUAUUUUUUUUAAGUAAAUAUUAAUAUGAUAAAGGUUUCUUAAACAUUAAAAACUAUAGUGUAUACACUAAAAUAUGUCUUUAAUAAUAAGCAACUUUUUUUGACUUUCAUAUUAAGUUUUUAUUUUUGAUUUUUGAUUUAUUAUUUUUGUUUUUUAAGUUAUAAGCUAUUUGAAUAGAAUUAGUCAAUAGGGUAUACAAGUUGUUAUUGAACUUGAAAAAAAAAUGAGGUAUACAAGUUGUUGAACUUGAAAAAAACUUUUGAUUUUUCAAAAGUCAAUUCAAACAAGCAAUUAUAAAACACACACACAUAUAGUCAUUGACUCUAAUAUAUAUAUAUAUAUAUAUAUAUAUAUAUUAGAGUCAAUGACUUUAUUAAGUGAUUAUAGAGUGUCUAGUUGUCAUAUUUAACAAUUAAUUGAAAAAUAAAUAAAUAAAUAAAAUAAAAAACCUAAAAUGUGCAUGGGAGGAGGAAGGUUGCACGAGGUAAAAGGUAAUUUAUAUUAAAAACUUGUUUGGUAACUAUUUUUUAAAAAAUAAUCUUGUUUUUUUAUUCUAAAAAAAUAAAAUACAUUUGAAAAAAAAAAUGGAAAAGAAUUUUUUUUUUGUUUUUAAAAAUAAAAACCAUAAUAUUUUCAAAGAAUAUAUUUUAAUUAUUUUCAAUUGUUUUCACUUAUUUUUUUAAAAGUUGUUUAAAAAAAUAAUUCUACAAAUAUAAAAAAUGAUUUAAAAUAAAACACUACAUAUAUUUUUUUAAAAUAUAUUUAAAAAUAUAGAAAACAUAUUUAAAAUAUUUUAGAUUUAUGAAUAGUUUUUUAUUUUAUAAAAUAUUAAAGAAUAGUUUUUAAAAAUUAUUCUCAAAACCUACUUUCGAAAAUACUUCCAAUUGAGUCUAAAUCUUGCUUUCUAGAAAAACGAGGUCCAAGCCCAUGAGACCCAAACCCAUUCCUUGGGAUUUUAUGGGCCCUUACAUGGAGGGACCUCCUCGAGUUUAGGCCUUAGCAAGUGGGCCUAAUUUAAGGAUAUUUACCUUAAAUAUCCUUAGACGAUGAGUGGCGAUGGAAAUGAGGCGAAACAAAUACUUAGAGCCACGUGGACCGAGUCAUCACGAGGCUUGACUCGGUGAAACCAGGAUCAAUUCCCGAGCUGACUCACCAUCACAUUUCAUUCCCUAAAACCCUACCUUCAGGCUUCAAGCAGCGAAAGCGCGAGAAAGUGCGAGAAAAUGGCGAGAAACUCCGUUCUUCUGCGACACCUCCUUCGAUUCUCUCCCUCGUCUCGCGCUCGUUCUUCUUCUCUGAUCGAGACCCUAGCUUCAUCUCCGAUUGCUGUCCCAUCCCCUCCCAUUCAUACAAUUUCCUCCUUUUUCACCACCGCCACCGCUAACUCUCAGUUCUCGCGGCCUUGUUUGAAUUACCGUACACUUUGCU
rnacentral:lncRNA from 1 species